UACGGGGGGGGGCAAGCGUUGUUCGGAAUUACUGGGCGUAAAGGGCUCGUAGGCGGCCAACUAAGUCGGAUGUGAAAUCCCCAGGCUUAACCUGGGGAACUGCAUCCGAUACUGGAUGGCUUGAAUCCGGGAGAGGGAUGCAGAAUUCCAGGUGUAGCGGUGAAAUGCGUAGAUAUCUGGAGGAAUACCGGUGGCGAAGGCGGCAUCCUGGACCGGCAUUGACGCUGAUGAGCGAAAGCUAGGGGAGCAAACGGGG
rnacentral:rRNA from 1 species